GGUUUUGCACUCCGGGGAGAACCAGAAUACCGGUUUCCUAGUUGCUCGUCUCAGGACUUAAUGAAGCUCAGGUUCUUUAUGUCUUGGCACAGAAGGAAUUCAGCGAGAGGCAAAGUGAUAGGUUUUUGGACUCUGCUGUGAAGACUGGUUUGCUGGUAUGCCAGAGGCAAGAUGCUAAGAAGCCCAGCUUUGGUCACCAACUUUUGCAUCACAUCUGGUGAGGGGCGUUGGAGUCUCUCCCCAAGGUGGGGUUUGGGAGGCUUCUAAUUUCCAAGACAAAACCAGUCUUGAUCUGGCCUUACCUGGGGGCAGUUGUUGAAGUUCUGAAAAUACCCAGUACAGAGCACCUGGGCGCAGUUCUCACGGAUGCCGGCAGCCAAUACCGUCCGAGAGGCUGCUCUUGAAAAGGCCCAGCUCUCCACAUGUCCUGGAGAAACUGGAUCCCCUCUUUUUUCUCUGAGUCCCCAGAGGUCCAAGCGCCAUCCAAGAGUAAAAUGGAAGAGAAAAACAGAAGACUUUUGAACAUAUUCCUAAAAGCUUGGUGGCAAGCCUCUGGGGCUUUAAGCAAGGGAUAGACAUGCUCACACUCAGAUCUGGGAAGGCUCACUCUGGCUGAAACUCGGAGAAGGGAUCUGACCAGGGCAAGACUGGAGGCAGUGAGAUAAGGAAUCUAUUGUGAGGCUAUCACUGCUCAAAAUGUUCAGGAUAUAAAGAUAAAGAAGACAAUCGUAACAGGCCAGUCCCCUGCCCUCAGGAAGUUCCUCCAGUUGCUGUUAUUACUGAUGACUGUUGAAUAAAUGGGGCCACUCAUAAGAAGCAAAUGGAGAGUUCUGACAGAGGAUGAAAGGCUAUAUUUUCCGAAGAUGGGUAUCCUCCUCCGAUACCCUUCUUAUCCCAUGACUGACACGCCAGGGUGGAUCAUGUUCCUUCCCCUUGAAUCUGGGUGGGGCUGUGACUGCCGUGACCAAUGGAGUAGGGGGAAAGCAAUGUAGAUCAUAAAAAAGUGAAGUCAUCAAAAGUAUAUAGUUCAUGCCUGGUUCUCCUUCUCAGUA